UCAACACUACAACCAGACUACAGCCAGU
rnacentral:sRNA from 1 species